rnacentral:rRNA from 1 species
UACGUAGGUGGCGAGCGUUGUCCGGAAUUACUGGGUGUAAAGGGCGUGUAGACGGGCGGAUAAGUUAGAUGUGAAAUACCGGGGCUCAACUCCGGGGCUGCAUUUAAAGCUGUCUGUCUUGAGUGCAGGAGAGGGAAGCGGAAUUCCUAGUGUAGCGGUGAAAUGCGUAGAUAUUAGGAGGAACACCAGUGGCGAAGGCGGCUUUCUGGACUGUAACUGACGUUGAGGCGCGCAAGCGUGGGUAGCAAACAGGAUUAGAUACCCUGGUAGU